AACGAACGCUGGCGGCAUGCCUAACACAUGCAAGUCGAACGAGCCCUUCGGGUCUAGUGGCGCACGGGUGCGUAACGCGUGGGAACCUGCCCUUAGGUUCGGAAUAACUCCCCGAAAGGGGUGCUAAUACCGGAUAAUGUCUUCGGACCAAAGAUUUAUCGCCUUUGGAUGGGCCCGCGUUGGAUUAGCUAGUUGGUAGGGUAACAGCCCACCAAGGCGACGAUCCAUAGCUGGUCUGAGAGGAUGAUCAGCCACACUGGGACUGAGACACGGCCCAGACUCCUACGGGAGGCAGCAGUGGGGAAUAUUGGACAAUGGGCGAAAGCCUGAUGCAGCAAUGCCGCGUGAAUGAUGAAGGCCUUAGGAUUGUAAAGCUCUUUUACCCGGGAUGAUAAUGACAGUACCGGGAGAAGAAGCUCCGGCUAACUCCGUG
rnacentral:rRNA from 1 species